rnacentral:rRNA from 1 species
AUGAACAGGAGGAUUGGUUGGAAGAGAUGCUUACUUUUUUCUCCGUUUCUUCAGAGCCUGAUGAUGAUCUCCCUUUCCUGCUCUUCUCCUGUGUUCUCUUCUCUUCUCCCAGCUGAGCUCUCACCUUCUCAAGGUUGGAUGGUUGGGUGCUUUGUUAAUGAGGGGGUGGUUGGUUGGUUAGCUGCCUCCAAAGUGCUUACUUAUAUAUACGCGGACCGCCCGCUCUCGCCGUCUCUGUUUUUUCUAGAAAAAAGAGCUGUGGAGGAGGCCCCGACGGUAUAUAAAUUUAUGAACAAAUUAUAA